AUGGGUCCUGCACACAGUAGAAACAGGCUAUGCUAUUCAAUUCGGCCGCCCACCGCCGACAUUCAAUGGGGUUACACCGACAGUCGUCGGCCCCCAGCAGGCUCUGGUUAUGGAACAAGAAGUGAAUACCCUAUUAAGGAAGGAGGCCAUCGAGGUGGUCCCUCCUCUAGACAGGGAAUCCGGGUUCAAAGCUUAUCAAUAUCGAGUACUUCCAUUCGGCUUUGCACUCUCACCCCGCACGUUCACGAAAUGUGUAGAUGCGGCUCUGGUACCCCUCCGUAUGCAGGGCAUCCGCAUUCUAAAUUAUAUCAACGAUUGGUUGAUUCUAGCUCAAUCAGAGCAGAUGGCGGUUCGACAUCGAGGUGUCGUUCUCGCCCAUAUGGGGGAGCUGGGUUUGAGACUGAAUGCCAAGAAGAGUGUACUUUCUCCAGAUCAGAGAACCACCUAUCUAGGCGUAGUAUGGGAUUCGACCACGAUGCAGGCACGUAUGUCUCCUGCUCGAAUCGAGUCGAUCCUCACAUCAGUCAAGAGAGUCACACAAGGCCAGUCACUCACUGUGAAGCAGUUUCAGAGACUGUUAGGGCUCAUGGCAGCUGCGUCCAACGUGAUACCUUUUGGUCUCCUGCACAUGAGGCCCCUUCAGUGGUGGCUCAAGACCAAGGGGUUUUCCCCGAGGGCAAAUCCUUUCCGAACUAUUCAGGUCACGCGGCAAUGCCUUCGUGCCUUAGACAUAUGGAAGAAAGCUUGGUUCUUGAAUCAGGGCCCGGUGUUGGGAGCUCUUGGUCGCCGUGUAACGCUAGCGACAGAUGCAUCCCUCACCGGUUGGGGUGCGGUCAUGAGUGGCCACCCUGCCCGCGGUCUGUGGAGUGGUCGCCAUCUGACAUGGCACAUCAAUUGUCUAGAAAUGCUAGCAGUAUAUCGAGCUUUAAAAUAUUUCCUCCCAGACCUGAGAGGCUGUCAUGUGUUAGUGCGCACCGACAACACAGCGGUAGUCUCUUAUAUCAAUCACCAGGGGGUCUGUGUUCACGCCCCUUGUACAAGCUGGUGCACCAGAUCCUCCUGUGGUCCCAGGGCAAACUCCUCUCGCUAAGAGCAGUGUAUAUUCCUGGGCGAUUGAAUGUGGGAGCAGACAUGCUGUCGAGACAGGGGCCGAGGCCCGGGGAAUGGAUGCUUCAUCCCGAGGUGGUGAAGCAGAUAUGGCAAAUAUUUGGCAAAGCUGAGGUGGACCUCUUUGCGACACGAGAGACAUCGCAAUGUCCCCUCUGGUUCUCUCUAGUUCACCCAGCUCCACUGGGACUAGAUGCCAUGGCACAGACUUGGCCGAGGCUUCGUCUGUAUGCCUUUCCCCCCAUCGCUCUGCUCCCGGGAGUUCUGGCGAGAGUACGCCGGGACGGGGUCCGUCUGUUGUUAGUAGCCCCGUUCUGGCCGGGCCGAGUAUGGUUCGCUGAUCUGAUUUCUCUCCUCGACGGCUCUCCAUGGCAGAUUCCGAUCAGGACAGAUCUACUCUCUCAGGUGCAGGGCAAAAUAAUUCACCCUCGCCCGGAGUUGUGGAAGCUGUGGGUGUGGCCCCUGAGGGGGCACAUCUGUUAG
ensembl:lncRNA